CCUACGGGCGGCAGCAGUGAGGAAUAUUGGACAAUGGGCGCAAGCCUGAUCCAGCCAUGCCGCGUGCAGGAUGACGGUCCUAUGGAUUGUAAACUGCUUUUGUACAGGAAGAAACACUCCCUCGUGAGGGAGCUUGACGGUACUGUAAGAAUAAGGAUCGGCUAACUCCGUGCCAGCAGCCGCGGUAAUACGGAGGAUCCAAGCGUUAUCCGGAAUCAUUGGGUUUAAAGGGUCCGUAGGCGGUUUAAUAAGUCAGUGGUGAAAGCCCAUCGCUCAACGGUGGAACGGCCAUUGAUACUGUUAAACUUGAAUUAUUAGGAAGUAACUAGAAUAUGUAGUGUAGCGGUGAAAUGCUUAGAGAUUACAUGGAAUACCAAUUGCGAAGGCAGGUUACUACUAAUGGAUUGACGCUGAUGGACGAAAGCGUGGGUAGCGAACAGGAUUAGAUACCCCUGUAGU
rnacentral:rRNA from 1 species